GGCGGCAGUGCACGAGGUGCCCUGCAGUGUGAUGAGCGUCUCCUUCCCCUUGGCAUUGAGGGGGACCACUAGUCGGUGCAGCGUUGACCGAAAACUGCUCAGAAACUCCUCAGUAUUCUUCCCUCGCUGUUCCUAUGGAUAAGGCUCAUGUCAAUGCAUCAGCCAUAUGAAGUAAGGCAAAGGGAAAGCACAACAUAUCAUCCUAGAUACAGAUGACUCACCCGUAACCUGACAAGGUGCAGGAUCCGGGGCCUCUUUGUCACAGUUCCGACACAACACCGAAUAGUCGUAAGCGUCGCCGUGGCCCUCCACUUCGGUCGACCUGCAAGAAGACGGCACGCAUUCAAACCCCGCGAAUGAGUCAUGGUUCUAUGCAGCACAAAUAUUAUCUGAAAACCAUCAAAGUUGUAUUGAAUGUUAUCACUGAUGCACGUCAAGACUUAUGAAUUACUGAGAAUCAUCGGAAAAAAAAAGACAUUACUCGACUUGUCACACUUGACUCGUUUGAACACCGAUCAAAGAAAUUGUACCAUCCUUUUGACAGAUGGGCGCCAGAGACUGUAUAGGUGUUUGAAAGGCAACAACCCUUGGUCCAUGGAGGUUUCAUGCAUAAGUUAAGACACUCAGAUACUUGUAGAUGGGGAAGGGAAGGCCAUGAGAUGCAGUGAAUGUUUAUAGAUCAGCGCUACACGAAACCAGCAAUUACGAGACACUCAAAGACUUCUGCAGGCUAUUUUUUUUUUCUUUCUUUCUUCCUUCUUAG